AGUUAGGCGAUCGAGGCGCGCUAUUCGUUUGGGUUGGAAUCUGUAAACCCGCUCAGUUUCUCUCCUUCUGCAUCAACGUCAACCAGGAAUACUAGAACAACGCUCUCCACUCAUCACUCAGAUCCCUGCAGCUCCCGCCAACUUUACUCUCUCUCGCUCUCGCAACCUUCCCGGCCAGCGUCGUCUCCGCCUGAUCAGAGGGGAGACAUCAGGGUAAUUGGUGAUGAAGUUUUUACUGGACAAAUGAGCAUACUGCCACUAUGCCGUUAUGAUAAGUUUGAUCGUGCAUGGCAGCUUGCACUAUAGACACUCACAAUGCUAGGAUCACGUCAAAGGCCAUACUUAAAGCCAUAUAUAUACAUUAUUAUUUUGGUUUCGGUGGUCAGCAUAUUUCUAUUUGGCACCUACGUUUUUCCACCAAGAAGCUCUUUCAUUUGUUAUAUCUUUAGUGAGUGUAUCAAUGGUGAAUUUAAUCAGCGCCGGCCCAUUGCUUCCCGGGAAUUAACUGAUGCAGAGAUUGCAUCUCGGGUUGUAAUUAGGGAAAUUUUGAAGAGACCUCUAGCUCAAUCCAAGAAUCCGAAAAUUGCCUUUAUGUUUUUGACUCCAGGUCCACUACCCUUUGAGAAGCUCUGGCAUAAAUUUUUUGAUGGUCACGACGACAGAUUUUCUAUAUAUGUGCAUGCGUCUAGAGAAAAAGUAUCACAUUCAAGCCCCCAUUUUGUAGGACGUGACAUUCGCAGUGAAAAGGUAGCCUGGGGAGAAAUGUCUAUGGUUGAUGCAGAAAAGAGACUUUUGGCAAAUGCACUUAUAGACCCUGAUAAUCAGCACUUUGUUUUGUUAUCUGAAAGUUGUGUACCUCUUCACGAAUUUGAGUAUGUUUAUAACUAUUUGAUAUUUACAAAUGUCAGCUAUAUUGAUUGUUUUGAUGAUCCUGGUCCCCAUGGAAGUGGUAGGUAUUCAGAGCGCAUGUUACCUGAAAUUGAAAAGAAAGACUUUCGUAAAGGUUCUCAGUGGUUUUCCAUGAAGCGACAGCAUGCUGUUAUUGUGAUGGCUGACAGUCUUUACUAUAUAAAAUUCAAGCUUUACUGUAAGCGAACUAAGGAUGGCCCGAACUGCUAUGCCGACGAACACUAUUUUCCAACCUUUUUCAAUAUGAUCGACCCUGGUGGAAUUGCAAAUUGGUCCGUAACACAUGUAGAUUGGACUGAGGGAAAGUGGCAUCCAAAAUCGUAUAGGAAUCAAGAUGUCACCUAUGAACUUCUGAAGAAUAUUGCUUCGUUAGACAAGGCCGCUCACAUUACGAGUACUGCACCGAAGAGGGUGAUGUUCAAACCCUGCUUGUGGAAUGGAGUGAAAAGACCAUGCCAUCUAUUUGCUAGAAAAUUUUAUCCAGAAACUCUGGGAAGAUUGUCCCACCUUUUCUCUAACUACACGGUGGUUGUUUAGGCCAUCUCGUUGCCCUCCUCGAUCGAGACAUCAUUUAAGAGGUUAGAACAAUGUGGUUGAUAGUUUUAUACCGUUGGUUUGAUUAUACGAUAGGAUAACUAAAAAUUGUAUUUUGACCAUGCAUCCAAUCCAAUGGUUUUAAAAGGAACAACCACAUCACACAAUGAAUCAUGUCCCUAUUUCUCACCGAUGAGCCUUCUUUCCAGAGCUAUAGCUGAUUCCUUUUGUGUAGAGUCGUCGAAAGUGAACCUGAAGCUGCCAUGGUUGGCUGCCUUUCUUUGGUUUGUGGCUUGUCUUCUCAGCCAUAGUUUUAUAAAAAGGUUCAAUUAAAUUAAGAAAUUGAGCUCAUAGAUGAGACACACCUGAUAAGCAAGAACUGAACGUCUCGUUAUAUAAAGUAGAUGUCAAUCAGCUGGGGAUUUUUGCUUCUUAUUUCCUUAUUUUUGUGUUGUCAUAUUGAUGGUGUUACUGUUAUUACCUUUUCUUUUGUUUUCUGUUUUCAUUUAGAUGUAAUUUAAAAAGAUAGCUUCAGCUUCAUUGAUUACCGAACGAGAUUGAAUCGAACUUGUUUGAGCUUUGCAGAUAUUUGUAGCUUUGAAAAACACAGAAACUUGCUUAGUCGGGUCUUCCUUUUAUGUGAAUUCGUAGAGUAAGCAGAGAUCCAACUAUACGAUCGGAGUUUAAACAUGUAAACCAUAGGUCCCCUGAAUAUCCAUCAUCAGCCAACCCCUUUUCUGACUUUUGUUCUACUAAGCAGUUAAUUUUUAAUCCAAAGUGACCAUAUUUAUGAUCAUAUGUUUGUUUUGGUACGAGUACUUAAACUCAAGUUUUAUUUUUUUAUUUGUUUUCUUCUUUUGUAUGAUUGAGGUUCACAACAUUGUCCUGAAGAGAAAGUCAUAAGACUUUAGGUGGUAAACAAGACGUUUUGGAAUGAAUAUAGUCGACCAAACAAAUUUUAAGCGUUUAUAUUUUUACAAGUUAUUCAAUGCUAUUCAAUACAUUCUCCCCCUUGCAUUAUGAGAAUCUGAUUUAUUUGAGCAAACUUCACUUGUCA